GAUGAACGCUGGCGGCGUGCCUAAUACAUGCAAGUCGAGCGAACAGACGCGGCGCUUGCUCCUCUGACGUUAGCGGCGGACGGGUGAGUAACACGUGUAUACCCUACCUAUAAGACUGGGAUAACUACGGGACACCGGAUCUAAUACCGGAUAAUAUCUUGAACCGCAUGGUUCAAUAGUGAAUGACGGUUUUGCUGUCACUACUCGAUGGAUCCGGGCCGGAUUAGCUGGUUGUUAAGGUAACGGCUUACCAAGGCUACCAUGCGUAGCCGACCUGCGAGGGUGAUCGGCCACACUGGAACUGAGACACGGUCCAGACGACUACGGGAGGCAGCAGUAGGGAAUCUUCCGCAAUGGGCGAAAGCCUGACGGAGCAACGCCGCGUGAGUGAUGAAGGUCUUCGGAUCGUAAAACUCUGUUAUUAGGGAAGAACAAAUGUGUAAGUAACUAUGCACGUCUUGACGGUACCUAAUCAGAAAGCCACGGCUAACUACGUG
rnacentral:rRNA from 1 species